AAUCAUUUGAGUUUGGAAAUAUGUUUGUUAACGAGAAUACCAAAUUGACAGGACUAGAUGUAUAUAUUAUGAUCGAUAGUUGAAAAAAUUCACUAGAAAACUAACUUUAUCUUGUGUUUUGUUACCUUAUAAUACCCAUUAAUUUAAAACUCACGUCCACUGCAAACCAGCUUCUGGGACACUCUGGCAAAGACAAAGAACUGCUGCCAGGUUUCCCCUGUUCUCCCAUGACAUAAGUCUGUAGACCUCCUUUGGCACCAUCAUUGUUAUUUUGUCAAUACAAGCAUUCUCCGUGCCACUGAGACAACCAGAAGUAGAAGACAGAAGUGGCUGAUGACAAGAGCUCCAUGUAUGAGGAAAAUACCUGUCUUGUCGUCAACAAAGGGUACAUGGGUAUUCUCUAUCCCACUGAGAAGGACGGACACAGGUGAUGGAAACGGCAGUAUUUUAAGGCCAUGGAGGUCUGAUGACAAGAGCUCCAUGUAUGAGGAGAAUAGCUGUCUUGUCGUUAAAAAAGGCCAAGAGUGUGCUACCAUUGACAAAUCAAGAUGAACUGGAGACCACUGUAAAUGCCCCAUUGUCACAGUAAGCGACACUUCAGAGAAGACCAAGCCAGCCACCAAGCCAGCCAGGACUGCAAACCCCAGGCCCGCCACCAAAUGAAGGCAUCAGUGACAAGGAUAAGCCAUCGCAAAGGAACAGCCUCAACAGCAAUAAAGCACCAUAGUGAUUCUUGAAAUCUGUUAAAGAACAUAACAAGCAGGCAGGGGCUUUUCUCAGGUCCAGUAAUUGCAUAGCUGCUGGAGGAGGGAAAUCAGAUAUUGCAGAGAUUGAUGGAUGCAAUUGUAAAGAAAAGCAAUUUGUAAAUACUUAUUAUAGAUGGGUGAAAACCAAGCUGCUGUUGGUACUGUUUGAAUGUGAUGCACAAACAUGUGAUGAUCAUGCAUUUGCAGGUUGCAAUGUUUAUUAGUAUACUUGUAACUUAUGAUAAUAUUUUCUUAUUACUGUAUUGCUGUAUUGUCCAGUGAAAUUAUUGAAUGAUAAUGUUUGAUCAUAUCACUUUUGUAUAUUUUUCAUGCUGUUAUUUUCUUAGUAAUAUUUUCUUUAUAGUAUGGUAUAUAUUUUUACAUAUGAAUAUAUACAAAAGUGAUAUUAUCAAACAUUAUCAUUCAAUAACUUUACUGGACAAUACAACAAUACAGCUUUAUAACUGCAGCCACCACUCUCCUGAACAAUAAUGUUUGACCAUAUCACUUUUGAAUAAACUAUUUUCAUUUUAUAAUGCCAUUAUAGUAUGGUAUAGAUAUAUAUGUAAUUUUUCUGCUUUAUGACAAUACAUAAACUUAAUGCUAUAUUGUUGUUACAUGUAACUGCAUUAAUGAUGUCUUUAGUUCAUUGCAAUUUUGUAUUUUCUUACUAUGCUGAUAUAUUUUCAUGAUGUUAUUAUAUUUUUAUAUUUAUUAUGUUGGAUUGUCAUGAAAAUGUCCUUUAUAUAUUCUCUUGGGUUAGAUUUAUAUAAAUUUGCCUAUACAUAUACUUUAUUAUAUGAUAUCAUUUGCCAUAAAAAAGUCCAUAUAUUUUUCUAUUAUGUCAAAUUAUUAUGAGAAUGUCUCUCUAUAUGUUUUUAUAAUGUGUCAAAUUGUCAAUGUCUAUUUUUGUAUGAUAAUUUGUCAAAUUGCCAUGAAGGUAUUUCCAUGUGAACAGGAAAACAGCCAUUAUAGGAAAGGAAAGUUAAAUCGUACUGAUUCAAAUUCCUCCCGAGUUUCCCACCAGGCAAUGAACAACCAAAAUGGAUACACAGAGAGAAUUUAGAUGAGAUUAUAUGGCGGUAGAGAAACAAUACAAACAAGAACUGAAUCAGGUCUCGGGAGGAGGGUCAAGGUCAAAGAGUCUGGGGAAGGAUUUGCUUACCAAUAACAAGAUAAGGUCAUCGAAGCCCCGUUGACCAGCAAAUUGAAAGUGGGCAGUUUUCUAAUUAACAGCUUGCAACAUUUUCUUUCAUAAGAAUUCGCUGAUUUAUUAAUUAAUCUAGUGUCUUUCCUGUUAAGCUACGUAAAUGGAUGAAA